rnacentral:lncRNA from 1 species
GUCACCAUGGAGGGAGGAGCUAGUGGAAUUUAAAAGGCUAGUGCAGGAUGGAAAGUGGGCUCUUUGCUUCUACUCUUGAAUGGAUUAACUCCCUGGGAUGGUGCUUAGAGAUUGGCAGCAGGCAUGGAUGGGACCUUGCUGGGCUGAAAUCUGGGAUCUGAUCUAACUUAACUGAGCCUAUAGUAGGAAGAACUGGCAGUAAAUUUGUUUUGCAGUUUGUUUUUAUUUACCCUUGAUGGAAGGUAGAUGCAUAUCAGCUCUACAGAUCCUUCAGUUUGGAAAGAAACCCAAUAUCUCUUCUCUUCUUUGGAGUCUCCAAAACACUGACCUAGCUCUGGCAAUGCAUGUGUCAACCUCAUCUCUGUGUAUAAUCCUGAACAGUAUAUGACCAAGGUGAAUCCCUCUUUAAACAAUGAUUGUCAGAGAUCUCCCCAGCACAGGGGUGUUCAUUGCCACAGAAUCCACAGCUUGAAAGAUACAUGAGUAUCUUGAAAAGACAAGAUAUGAUAUGCCCCUUAAAAUAAUAAAAACAUAUUGGGAAAUAGCUAAAGUCUGCA